CCUCUUAGGGUUUCCUCUGGGGUAAGUGAUUGCUUCUACACUGUGAAAAUUUGGCUGAGAGACUCAGACUGGUCAUGGGUAGACCUAUCUGGGGUUUGAUCGAUGCCACUCCUGGUUUCAGGAGCACCCUUCAUAAUAAACCUAGAAAUUCAGUAUUAUAAAGUUUAAUAAAAAACAACUUUUAACAAUGGAUCUCUUGGUUCUCGCAUCGAUGAAGAACGUAGCAAAGUGCGAUAACUAGUGUGAAUUGCAUAUUCAGUGAAUCAUCGAGUCUUUGAACGCAGCUUGCACUCUAUGGUUUUUCUAUAGAGUACGCCUGCUUCAGUAUCAUCACAAACCCACACAUAACAUUUGUUUAUGUGGUAAUGGGUCGCAUCGCUGUUUUAUUACAGUGAGCACCUAAAAUGUGUGUGAUUUUCUGUCUGGCUUGCUAGGCAGGAAUAUUACGCUGGUCUCAGGAUCUUUUUCUUUGGUUCGCCCAGGAAGUAAAGUACAAGAGUAUAAUCCAGCAACUUUCAAACUAUGAUCUGAAGUCAGGUGGGAUUACCCGCUGAACUUAAGCAUAUCAAUAAGCGGA
rnacentral:rRNA from 1 species